AUGGUCGACCCAGCAGAUCGAGGCCGGGAGGGCGAAGGACUUGGUCGGGAUGCCAAAGUCACAUUCCUGAGGCGACUCGGCAUGCAUCAGACGAGUGCUCCAGGUCCACGACCCGUGGUUGAACUCCAACAGGUCGAUGGCGUAGUGCCCCCGGGCCAAGGUCUUGUGGAGAACGGCGACAAAGAGCCUGUCUUGGCCCGGGCAGCGCAGAAGGCCGAUAGAACCGUCGGUGAGCGGGAUGACCAUGCUGAAGCGGGGGCUCGCGUCGUAGAGGAAGUAGUCGUUCUCUUGGCCGACGGGGACGCGGAGGAGGGCGAGGUUGCCGUGGGUGCGGAGGAGGCGGGGGAGACGGUCGAGCGGGGUGGCAGGUCCUUCCGGGAGGAGGUCGGGGAGGUGGAUGGUAAAGUAAGAAAGGAGUGGCGGGCGCGCGGCCCAGAAGUUGAGCUCGAGGAUGUGGCCGCUGUGGGUGGCGCACAUGCACCGGCUGGUUGA
rnacentral:rRNA from 1 species